GACGAACGCUGGCGGCGUGCUUAACACAUGCAAGUCGAACGAUGAAGCCGGAGCUUGCUCUGGUGAAUUAGUGGCGAACGGGUGAGUAACACGUGAGUAACCUGCCCUUGACUCUGGGAUAACUGCGGGAAACUGUAGCUAAUACCGGAUACGACCCUCGGAGGCAUCUCCUGGGGGUGGAAAGAAUUUCGGUCAAGGAUGGACUCGCGGCCUAUCAGCGAGUUGGUGAGGUAAAGGCUCACCAAGGCGACGACGGGUAGCCGGCCUGAGAGGGUGACCGGCCACACUGGGACUGGGACACGGCCCAUACUCCUACGGGAGGCAGCAGUGGGGAAUAUUGCACAAUGGGCGCAAGCCUGAUGCAGCAACGCCGCGUGAGGGAUGACGGCCUUCGGGUUGUAAACCUCUUUUAGCAGGGAAGAAGCGAAAGUGACGGUACCUGCAGAAAAAGCACCGGCUAACUACGUGCCAGCAGCCGCCGUAA
rnacentral:rRNA from 1 species